UGCAUAAAAAUAAUCCUGGUGUUUCCGGACAAACAGAAUAUAAGUAGUUGGAAGUUGAAGUGUUUCCAUUCUUAACCAGCACUUCAGAAUAAGACAGAUCAAUACACACACACAACAACCAAAGAAUUCCAAAUGUCUCCCAUGUUGAAGAACCUCGCCGUGCUGGCUAUCCUAGUCAUUCUUAUCACACCCCAUCCAUCUAGUGGUUUCUACCGUAUUGGUAGACAGUUUGAAAGACGUUCUGAUACGCAAGGAAACACGGAAGGAGCCAUCGAUAGCCUGGAUGGUGUGGGAGCUUUUGAUCAACUGAACUACAGACUGGCUGCCCUGCGGGCCAAGCGACUUAUGGCAAACAAACAUGAAGAAAAUGACAAAAGAAGUUUACAAUAAUAAACCCGGAAUGACGACAUCGUUCAAAGGAAUUUGUUUGUUGUUUUGCAUCCAUCUAUUGUUGUUUUAAAUAAAACAAACAAAGCUAAAAAAAUAAACAUUUUCAUUCACCUUUGG